rnacentral:rRNA from 1 species
CGGCUGAGGAAGACGGAAGGAACCUGCCCUUCAGAGGGGGAUAACUCCGCGAAAGCGGGGCUAAGACCGCGUACGCUCAUGCUGGGGAGAACGGCGUGAGGAAAGCCGCAAGGCGCUGAAGGAGGGGCUUCCGGCCCAUCAGGUAGUUGGUGAGGUAAGAGCCCACCAAGCCGAUGACGGGUCGCUGGUCUGAGAGGACGAUCAGCCACACUGGGAUUGAGAACGGCCCAG